CACUUUAUGCUUUAUUGGCUUAUACUCAAGAAACUCCUGUUUUCUAAUUUGACACAUACAAUACGGCCUACUGCAAACUCCUCCCCAAAAGCUCUCAAAAGCAACAAAGGAAAUAAAAAAGAAAAUACAGCAAGAGCACUUUUCUGUCCUGUGACGAAAACAGGACGGUGCUAGAGGAGAUGGAGUCUUCUUAUUUAAAACGUGCACACUAUGAUUUGCCGCAGGAGCAGCUAGAGUAUUUUGACUCACGGGCAAGAACCCCUCCUUGUUUUGUGCCCUCCACACCAGUGCGUAUUUUGUACGACAAGGCGGCUCUCGGGUGUAACCAUGAAAUGCUCCGUCGUUCUCAGGAACGGCCGGUAAACGUAAAAAGUGAGCUCCACGCAGUCACACAGCUGGGUAGUCUUGCUGAGAAGUAUCACCAGUAUUUUGCCCAGCAUCCACGAGCGGAUAUCGAGAGUCGCUGGCUAAAAAACGACAGCGCUGUCUCCGGGUUUCACCGGGUAGAAGAAUCGCAGCGGCACGAAACCACAGCACCAAGGACAACUGCACAAAAGCCAGCGUCAGAGGUUCCAUCGCAUGUCUCUUCAGUACAGCAUGCUCAUCCUUCAGUAAGAACAAAGCCGUCGUUUCAGCCGCGCUCACACGGCGGUAUUCCCCAAGAUCAACCCGAGAGCAUUAUAGAUCGCGCAAAACGACAGAUGACGCGGCCCACUGAAAAUCAUCCUUGGCCAUCCAGAAACGAUUAUGAGCAGCCGCGCGGUGAACGGCACGCUCCGUUCUCUAAAUUGUCUGCUUCUUGCGGCACUCCCGUAUCGCGUGACUUGCCCAUAGAAAUGAGUACCAGUGCUCGAUCACAGGACGAAGAGGCAGCGGUGCCGCAGCAAGCGAGGGAGCGGCCAGCAGAGGCUUGCUCGUAUAUGGCGCAGCAGGUGGAUACAAUCCAUCCUGUUCUGAAGGCGCAGGACCAUCAGGAGUCCAACUAUUUAGCACGGCGCCCGACAUCGCAAGGCCACCUGGAUGAAGAUGAGCGCAUGCGCGAUGACGAAGAAAACUGCACGUUUCAGCCGAAGGUGAACAACGCGUCGUGGCGGCGAAAAAUGCGUAUGCAAAAGUCUACCCACCGCGAAAGCGAGAGGGCGUAUUCACUGCGUGUAAGUUGCGGUGGCCACGAGAACGACGUAUACGAUAGGAUGCACGGUGACGCUGACGCCGCGAAGAGACGCAGUGCCAGCCGCUGCGCGCAAAAAGAAAUCGACAACGCUGAAAUCGAGAGAAAUGCAUCUCACGGCUCGCGCUCCACUUUCGUGAAUCCGCACCGCUCGGCGGUGGACUCUCAGGCUGAUCCCAAAGAGGUUUUCCUGCGGUUGUACGCGGAUGCACAGCGUUACAACAAGGAAAAGGCUGAGCAGGAGCGGCUAAUUGAUCUCAAGCGCCAGCAAGAGCGUGGGGAGGCGCCGUAUGACAGAGAAAAUAGUAGCAAAGCCAGAGACGGCUCACAGGGCCACGACGACGGGAUUGGUUUCAGUGAAGAUGAAAAAUCUUUCACAGCAAAGCCGCGCGGUUCUAGUUCUCGCCGGAAGGGCUCUGCGACGCGCGACCUUUUCGAGCGACUUUCUCGACCUCAUACCGUCACAAUCAAGUUCGAAAAACAAAAGGAACAGGCUGAGCAGGAAAAGCGUGAGAAAGAGCAGAGGGAUGUCGAAGCGAAGAGAAGUGAAACGGAGAAAAUUACUUCCUACAGCUGGAGAAUUCCAAGCAAAAGCUUCACCUUCUCUGACUUGGAGUCUCAGAAUGCUCUCUACGUAUCAUGACAGCAAACUCACUCCUUUGAAAAUCGGAUGACGCUAUUGGCAUCGUAUAUAUAUAUAUAUAUAUAUAUGCAUUAUUGGGCUUGCACGCUUUCAUUGUCUAUGGAUCCUUUUCGUGUAGAGCCUAAAGUGGUUGUUUUUGUUGUAUUGCACGUAGAGUUUCUAUAUAUAUAUAUAUUCUAAUUAGAUAGUCUCUUGUGCCCUUUCGUCUAGUAUUCUCAUCUGCUUGUCAAUGCAUCUGUGCUCCUAGGGUUGUCUUUCGGUGUUUUUUUUCGUCUUUUUCUGUGCUGCCAGGUGAAAAAAGGAAGUAAAAGGAUUGCGUGGCCGCUUCCGCUCUGGGCCACUAGUUGCAUUGCUACUCUGUACUCUUGGCUUCCUUUCUCAUCUGCCUGAAUGGCCUGUCUGCUCAGACCAACUUUUCCUCCUUUCAACAUCGACUCCCUGCAACACCCCAUUGUCUUUUGCUUUUGACCCUCCCCGUUGCGUGGGUUUCCCGUCGGAAUAAAG
rnacentral:misc_RNA from 1 species